ACGAACGCUGGCGGCGUGCUUAACACAUGCAAGUCGAACGAUGAAGCCUUUCGGGGUGGAUUAGUGGCGAACGGGUGAGUAACACGUGGGCAAUCUGCCCUGCACUCUGGGACAAGCCCUGGAAACGGGGUCUAAUACCGGAUAAUACCUUCCUCUGCAUGGGGGAGGGUUAAAAGCUCCGGCGGUGCAGGAUGAGCCCGCGGCCUAUCAGCUUGUUGGUGGGGUAAUGGCCUACCAAGGCGACGACGGGUAGCCG
rnacentral:rRNA from 1 species